UAAUGGUUUUUUUAAUGCUUUUAUUGCCCCUUCUGCAGAAUACCAAACAGCACCGGCAGUAAAACCACUAAAACAAAAAGGCAAUUCUCAGCUCUGUAUUUUCUGAAAUCCCAGCAUUAUUUUCAAGGUCUACUGAGCUUCAAAUUAUGGCUCCUCAUGAAUAGGUGAAAGAAGAAUAUAAUUUGCUGCUUUUGUUGUUGUUGUUGGGUAAAGAAAAAAAUAAAUGUUGGGGACCAGUUAAUAUCUCCUUCUAAAUCCACAGAACAAACUGCAUUUUCAUGUACUUAGUCUAAAACGCAUUGAUGUCUCAGCUUCUUCUAAAGGGAAAAUAAAUCCUAAGGAUUACAACAUUAAAAUAAUGUGCAGUUCAAGAUUUUUUACACAUGGAUUGAUUAAUGGCAAACUCCAUCAUGGACAACUCCAGGGAAACUCCAUGGAGUUCUGCAGGGAAGAGAUCUCUCUCAGUGGCUCCAUCAUCCUCUGAUUUAUCCAGCCAGCGGCCACAAGGGAACUUCAGGCAUUGCCCAAGCGAUGGGGCAUCAAUUUCCACCCAUUCCAGAAACCAGCCAGCAGAGCCACCUGUAGCAGGAGAUUAUACUCAGAGUGAAUAGCACUUUUCACCAGCAAAGCGCUUUCCAGACAAUGAACUAAUUAAUGAAUCCUGCAAGAUCCCUGUGAAAGAGGCCCAGAGAUGCAAGAGAUUGAUGAUCAUUGUCCGAAUCUUUCUUUAUAAAUGCUUCAUCCACUGGAACCAGCUCCCUGGCAAUCUGACCAUCAUCUUCCUCACCUGCCAAC